rnacentral:rRNA from 1 species
UGGCGAACGGGUGAGUAGCACGUGGGUGAUCUGCCCUGCACUUCGGGAUAAGCUUGGGAAACUGGGUCUAAUACCGGAUAGGAGCCAUCUUUAGUGUGGUGGUUGGAAAGUUUUUUCGGUGUAGGAUGAGCUCGCGGCCUAUCAGCUUGUUGGUGGGGUAAUGGCCUACCAAGGCGGCGACGGGUAGCCGGCCUGAGAGGGUGUACGGCCACAUUGGGACUGAGAUACGGCCCAG